AGUCGUAACAGAGGUUUCCGUAGGUGAACCUGCGGAAGGAUCAUUACCUUUCAGUACAGAAGCGUGUGUUGGUUGAGUGUGUGCCGUGAGUCUCGCUGAGAGGUGGGACUCCUGGUGGCAACUCCCGUCAUAAUUCUCCCUGUCGUAUCAUCCUUGUCUUUUGCGUUACUAGUUUCGCUCGGUGGGCUUGCCUGCCGGUUGGACAACCUUAUAACCUAUUUAAUUUUCAAUCAGCGUCUGAAAUAAUAUAAUAAUUACAACUUUCAACAACGGAUCUCUUGGUUCUGGCAUCGAUGAAGAACGCAGCGAAAUGCGAUAAGUAGUGUGAAUUGCAGAAUUCAGUGAAUCAUCGAAUCUUUGAACGCACAUUGCGCCCCUUGGUAUUCCAUGGGCUGCCUGUUCGAGCGUCAUUUGUACCCUCAAGCUCUGCUUGGUGUUGGGUGUUUGUCUUUUCCACGCGAUCAGACUCGCCUUAAAAUAAUUGCAGCCAGUGUUUUGGUUUGAAGCGCAGCACAAGUCGCGAUUCAGCUUAUAUCACUAGUUUCCAUUAAGCAAUUUAUCACUUUUGACCUCGGAUCAGGUAGGGAUACCCGCUGAACUUAA
rnacentral:rRNA from 1 species